UGGCACUGCCCGGUAGCUAAAUGCGGAAGAGAUAAGUGCUGAAAGCAUCUAAGCACGAAACUUGCCCCGAGAUGAGUUCUCCCUGACCCUUUAAGGUCCUGAAGGAACGUUGAAGACGACGACGUUGAUAGGCCGGGUGUGUAAGCGCAGCGAUGCGUUGAGCUAACCGGUACUAAUGAACCGUGAGGCUUAACCUUACAACGCCGAAGGUGUUU
rnacentral:rRNA from 1 species